rnacentral:rRNA from 1 species
GACGAACGCUGGCGGCGUGCUUAACACAUGCAGGUCGAACGCUGAAGCUCAGCUUUUGUUGGGUGGAUGAGUGGCGAACGGGUGAGUAACACGUGAGUAACCUGCCCCCUUCUUUGGGAUAACGCCCGGAAACGGGUGCUAAUACUGGAUAUUCACUGGUCUUCGCAUGGGGGUUGGUGGAAAGGGUUUUUCUGGUGGGGGAUGGGCUCGCGGCCUAUCAGCUUGUUGGUGGGGUGAUGGCCUACCAAGGCUUUGACGGGUAGCCGGCCUGAGAGGGUGACCGGUCACAUUGGGACUGAGAUACGGCCCAGACUCCUACGGGAGGCAGCAGUGGGGAAUAUUGCACAAUGGGCGCAAGCCUGAUGCAGCGACGCCGCGUGAGGGAUGGAGGCCGUCGGGUUGUGAACCUCUUUCGCUCAUGGUCAAGCCGCAACAAUGGUUGUGGUGAGGGUAGUGGGUAAAGAAGCGCCGGCUAACUACGUG